ACUGGUCGGGCAAUUCGUUAUCUCCAAUACGUCAAACAAUUGUUGGUUGUCGAGCAGUUUAUGAUUAAAAUUCGGUACUAUAAGUUUGCCUAUUGAACUACAAGAAAAUAAGUGACUGGACAAAUGACUAAAAACAAUGCGAGAGGCUUAUCUUGGACACGAGUGAAAAUUCGACUACAAAAUUCACCAGGAUAUUGAUACAUUUUCGUCACCACAUCGUGGAUAUUGUUCACUCCCUCCUACAGUUUGUUACACUUCGCAAUCCAAGGAAUUAAUAAAACCCUGGCAAAAUUAUGCUUAAAGUCGCCAUAAUUACGCGAAUUAUUAUAUAGAUAUUUAUACUAAGGAGUUAGUUAGUCCUAAGUUAUUAAGCACUAAAAGCAUAAUAUUAUUACACACGAGCGCAAUUUACGCAGACAUCUUGAAAAAUCAGUGCGUUCGGUACAAUAAUUUAAAAACUUUUACAAAAUACCGGGACGCCCUUAAUCUAACCAUACAUAAGUAAUUUUACACUACAUAAUUUUUUACGGGAACUUUCCUUCAAAAUAUUUGCAAAAAUUUGUGAAACUUUAUAAACUCAUGGAUUAUACAAUAUUACCAAGGUUUACCGGGACGGUUGUUUGGAGGGUUUAUUUACUUAAAUAUGUAUUAUAAUUGUUAAUAUUGGAUCUCUUGGUAUAAUUUUCCUACAUUCUCAGAAUAUUCUUGUUAAUACCGGCCUCAGUAUGUUUUUAGAUUUUGAUUAUUAUUGUUAUGAUUAUGAAGAUGAGGAUUGUGAUUAUGAGGAUGAUGAUGAAGAUGACGACGAUUAUUAUGAUUUUUAUUAUUAUGAUCAUUACGAUUAUGACGACGACGAUUAUUACGAUUUUGAUUAUGUUCUAUGUUACUUCGGUGAGUAAGAAAUGAUUCGGAAAAAGCCAGGGUUUUUAUGAAAAAAUUACUGACCCAAGGAUUUCAAUAUAUUGUAGGUUUUAUAUAUUUUACUAGGGUCAUAUGGGCUAAAUAAAUAUGGCAUCGUUCAAAUUUCAUUUAA